rnacentral:rRNA from 1 species
GGGCAACCUACCUACAAGAUUGGGAUAACUUCGGGAAACCGGAGCUAAUACCGGGUAAUACAUUGGAUUGCAUGAUUCGAUGUUGAAAGAUGGCUUCGGCUAUCACUUGUAGAUGGGCCCGCGGCGCAUUAGCUAGUUGGUGAGGUAACGGCUCACCAAGGCAACGAUGCGUAGCCGACCUGAGAGGGUGAUCGGCCACACUGGGACUGAGACACGGCCCAGACUCCUACGGGAGGCAGCAGUAGGGAAUCUUCCGCAAUGGACGAAAGUCUGACGGAGCAACGCCGCGUGAGUGAUGAAGGCCUUCGGGUCGUAAAGCUCUGUUGUUAGGGAAGAACAAGUACCGUUUGAAUAAGGCGGUACCUUGACGGUACCUAACCAGAAAGCCACGGCUAACUACGUGCCAGCAGCCGCGGUAAUACGUAGGUGGCGAGCGUUAUCCGGAAUUAAUUGGGCGUAAAGCGCGCGCAAGCGGUCCUUAAGUCUGAUGUGAAAGCCCAC